rnacentral:lncRNA from 1 species
CAGAACUAAAGAUGAACUGGUCAAACUUCAGACUGAGAGAGAGAUUAGGUGACUUAAUCAAUGUCACGUGGUGAAUCAGCACCAGAAGCAAAGUGGCAACUGCCAGCCCUGGUUGAUGGCAUCUCCGCCUUGAUUAAGGGGAACACUCAUCGUCCAGAUGUGCGUGCUCUGCCCUCUGAUGUGAUGUGGUUUUCUCAGAUGACACCUUCC